GAUGAACGCUAGCUACAGGCUUAACACAUGCAAGUCGAGGGGAAACGUCAUUGAAGCUUGCUUCGAUGGUCGUCGACCGGCGCACGGGUGAGUAACGCGUAUCCAACCUGCCUCUGACCAAGGGAUAACCCGUCGAAAGUCGGCCUAAUACCUUAUGCAGUCGUCGGAAGUCAUCUGAUGACGACGAAAGAUUUCAUCGGUGAGAGAUGGGGAUGCGUCUGAUUAGCUUGUUGGCGGGGUAACGGCCCACCAAGGCAACGAUCAGUAGGGGUUCUGAGAGGAAGGUCCCCCACAUUGGAACUGAGACACGGUCCAAACUCCUACGGGAGGCAGCAGUGAGGAAUAUUGGUCAAUGGGCGAGAGCCUGAACCAGCCAAGUAGCGUGCAGGAUGACGGCCCUAUGGGUUGUAAACUGCUUUUAUGCGGGGAUAAAGUGAGGGACGUGUCCUUCAUUGCAGGUACCGCAUGAAUAAGGACCGGCUAAUUCCGUG
rnacentral:rRNA from 1 species